GAGUCCUCAUCAAGAUUGGGGACAGGACAGUGUGUGAGGAGGCAAUGGAAGGCCCAGUCACUCAGCUUUACCGCUCCAAGGCCCAAGUGAUGAUAUGAAAUCUUUAAAAUGUUUUUGCUGAUGGAAAAGUGAAUACACUAUUUUGAGGUGAGAUCCUUAUUAAUAAUUUUAUGUAGAAACUUGCAGUGUUUUAUGGUCACACACAGUUUUACUUACAGUCAUAUUGGACAUGUUUAUUUUUUAUGCGUUACACUAUAAGUUGUUUCUAUAUCACAUAUUCUCUCAAAGUGGAUUUUCACGAUUUCAUUGUGGUUUCAUAGUGUAUCUUAAGAACUCACUGGAGUUAUUUACCCAACUGAAUAUUAUUUUAGGUUUAAUUAUACCAGAGCCUUCCAUCCACUUUAAUGAGAGAGUGAUUGAAAACAUAAACUUUAUGCUUGGCAUCUACAAAGAACACACGGCUUGGACACAACUCAGACAUUCCCAAGUCUCAUGCUCUCUUCUGGAUUCCCUGCACAUUGGCCAAACACUUCGAAGUCUUUGUGAAUUCUCCUCAGGUCACCCAGUCUGUGGACUGUUUAGUCAUCACUGUUUAUUGCUCUGGUUGGCACCCUAAGCCUGGGACUGAAAAUUCGGGGCCUAAAAAUGAGGUGGACUAAAGUCUCAUGCCAUAGCCAGAGCAUCAGACAAUUUGGACACUGAAGGUUAAAAAGAAUCACAUGAGUAAGGUGCUCAUGGCAAAACCAUGUUUUGUCCACAGAGGCACAUGAAUAACAACAGGUGAACUAAUCUCAUUCCUAUAUGAUACAUAUAGGAGUGGACAUCUGUUCUGUGAACAGAUCUGUGUUUUGAAGAAACUAAGAUCACAAGACCUGGCUUGCCUUUCAUGUGGGCACUUACACUAUUAAAAUGGGUUCAACCCUUGUUAUUCUUAAUUGCUUUCCUCAAACAUCACCUUUUAACAUCCAUUUCAUAUUGGGUGUUUAGAUUUUAGCUUCUUUUCUGGGGUUUGGGGGAGGAUUUCAUCUAUUUUAAGAGCAAUAUAUUUUCAAACAAGUUUCUUUAAGCUGUUUUUUUUCUGACUGAUGCAAAGAUAGAAACCUGAAAAUUCUUUCUAUCCAAAGGGAUGAAUAAUGCUGUCCUAGUUCCAUUUCUGUUGCUGUAAUAAAAUAUCCAUACCAAAAGCA
rnacentral:lncRNA from 1 species